AUGCUCUUGCGCUAAGAUGUGUGUGUGACUAUUUCGGGCCGCACGUGUUCCUUAGCUGACGGAGCGUCGCUUCUCCGCGUCACUAAAUUAAGUCGUCAUGUCUAUGAAGCAACUCAUGGGUUUCGCCCUCUUCGCAGGGCUUGCAGUCUUGUGCGCCGAUUCCUCGCGCGCGCAGUGGGUACCGACGAAUGGUCCGGGCUACGGGCCUGCCAUAACGGCGCUCGCCAUUCACGACGGCAAAGUUUUUGCGGGCAUCAGCGCGAGCGUGUAUAAAGACCUUUUCGUUUCCGGAAAUGCCGGAAAAACCUGGGAUCCCGUUACCACGGCCUCAUAUUACUACGCGGUCACUACGCUCAUCUCCCAUAAGCCCUAUUUAUUCGCGAUGCCGUGUGCCGGUCUGAUGGCGAUUGAACAGACGAUUUUUUUCAUAGUGUAAUGAUCGUUCCUUCAUAAAAUUCCUUCGCGUAAAGAAAGGUGCCCGACCGGAUGAUGCCGUCUAAACUGGUGAAAGCCAGCUACCCGCAAGGGGGGCGAUACAGGUGCUGCAUGGCUGUCGUCAGCUCGUGCCGUGAGGUGUUUGGUUAAGUCCAGCAACGAGCGCAACCCCUGGGUUUAGUUGCCAGCACGUAAAGGUGGGAACUCUAAACCAACUGCCUACGCAAGUAGUGAGGAAGGUGGGGACGACGUCAAGUCAUCAUGGCCCUUACGUCCAGGGCAACACACGUGCUACAAUGGCAUCUACAACGCGCUGCAAUACCGCGAGGUGGAGCGAAUCGCUAAAAAGAUGUCUCAGUUCGAAUCGGAGUCUGCAACUCGACUCCGUGAAGUUGGAAUUGCUAGUAAUCGCUGGUCAGCACACAGCGGUGAAUACGUUCCCGGGCCUUGUACACACCGCCCGUCAAGCCAUGAAAGCCAGGAGUACCCGAAGCCGCCUCAUAAGCGUCUAAGGCAAGACUGGUGAUUGGGGCUAAGUCGUAACAAGGUAGCCGUACCGGAAGGUGCGGCUG
rnacentral:rRNA from 1 species